rnacentral:rRNA from 1 species
UACGGAGGGAGCUAGCGUUGUUCGGAUAUACUGGGCGUAAAGCGCACGUAGGCGGCGCAGCAAGUCAGGGGUGAAAUCCUGGAGCUCAACUCCAGAACUGCCUUUGAUACUGGGGAGCUCGAGUCCGGAAGAGGUGAGUGGAACUCCGAGUGUAGAGGUGAAAUUCGUAGAUAUUGGGAAGAACACCGAUGGCGAAGGCAGCCAUCUGGACCGACACUGACGCUGAGGCGCGAAAGCGUGGGGAGCAAACAGG